GCCACGGGCGGAGCUCAUGCCGCGGCACGCCGACACGAACGCGCGCGUCGCGGCGGCGCCCACCCCACCCCCGCAUGUGCCGCUGCGCGGGUGCUACGUAACAUCCCAGCUUACUCUGCUCUGGUGGGCAGAGCACGAAUCGCACCGCACCCCACGUCGCGACCGCCGCCGGCCAUCCUCACGACACGCGCCGGCCAUCCUCGGCUGCCGUGCCGCCCCCUCACUCCUCUCCUCGCCUUAAGGCCCGACCGGCCCCUUCCCCUCAAACCCUAACUCUAUCCCUAGCCCCAACCCGCCAUGGGCCGCCGCCCCCGAGCUCCGUUGUCGUCGCUGAUUCGUCGCCCCCGGUGGGUGCCGCGCCAAUUCCUCUCGAGGGGAGCUUCCUUGCGUCGUCCUCCUCCGAUUUCCUUCCUUACCCGGCCCCUUCCCUCGCCGUGCAGAGCCGCCGGCGUUGACCUCCGCCCGCCGCCGCCGUUCGUCGUCGCGCCGCCCCGCCGUUGCUCCUCACCGCUCGUGCCGCCGCCGUGACCGAACCAUCGGAGGUCGAACCUGUGGAGCCCACCGAGUCCGUUGAGCCCGAACCCGGAGUACAGUUCGUGGUCGGACCCGAAGUUAACCAAGACAAGCAGCUAAGCAUAAUUUCUUGCACCUAUUUAAUUUGAUUAGUUUAGUUAUCUCAUCGGGUAAUGUUGGGUAUAUAAAUUAUGUACGUAUUGCA